UGCUAAUACAUGCAAGUCGAGCGGACAGAUGGGAGCUUGCUCCCUGAUGUUAGCGGCGGACGGGUGAGUAACACGUGGGUAACCUGCCUGUAAGACUGGGAUAACUCCGGGAAACCGGGGCUAAUACCGGAUGGUUGUCUGAACCGCAUGGUUCAGACAUAAAAGGUGGCUUCGGCUACCACUUACAGAUGGACCCGCGGCGCAUUAGCUAGUUGGUGAGGUAACGGCUCACCAAGGCGACGAUGCGUAGCCGACCUGAGAGGGUGAUCGGCCACACUGGGACUGAGACACGGCCCAGACUCCUACGGGAGGCAGCAGUAGGGAAUCUUCCGCAAUGGACGAAAGUCUGACGGAGCAACGCCGCGUGAGUGAUGAAGGUUUUCGGAUCGUAAAGCUCUGUUGUUAGGGAAGAACAAGUGCCGUUCAAAUAGGGCGGCACCUUGACGGUACCUAACCAGAAAGCCACGGCUAACUACGUGCCAGCAGCCGCGGUAAUACGUAGGUGGCAAGCGUUGUCCGGAAUUAUUGGGCGUAAAGGGCUCGCAGGCGGUUUCUUAAGUCUGAUGUGAAAGCCCCCGGCUCAACCGGGGAGGGUCAUUGGAAACUGGGGAACUUGAGUGCAGAAGAGGAGAGUGGAAUUCCACGUGUAGCGGUGAAAUGCGUAGAGAUGUGGAGGAACACCAGUGGCGAAGGCGACUCUCUGGUCUGUAACUGACGCUGAGGAGCGAAAGCGUGGGGAGCGAACAGGAUUAGAUACCCUGGUAGUCCACGCCGUAAACGAUGAGUGCUAAGUGUUAGGGGGUUUCCGCCCCUUAGUGCUGCAGCUAACGCAUUAAGCACUCCGCC
rnacentral:rRNA from 1 species